rnacentral:lncRNA from 1 species
AUUUUGACAAAACUUUCCACUAUAGUUAAGUAUAAAGUUGGCUCUUGUGGUCUUUGAGGAAUUCAUACUUGUGUUAGAAGGGAAGUUAAGGACAUAUUUAUGUGAAUACCAAAUGAGCUGUUUCAGAAACAAAUAAACUCUAUCUUUUUGAAAUGAGAAUGUUUGAACACACGAUUACAGAUCUGGUUGGUUUUGAUCUUUAGAAGUCCGUUGCAUGCUCUCCUUCUGCCAAAUUACACCAGAAACUGUUGUUAUUGCUGAUGAGCAGUUUGACUACACCACUAUAAUAUAAAUGUUAGUUUAAAGCUCCUUAUUUUCUUUAUGAGCAUAUUCAUUUGGAUUGAUAGAAAGUGACUGCAUUUCACCCAGAGAACUGGUUGGUGGGAACGGUUUUUGGUUUUGUCCGGUGGCAAAUAUCUGGAAUCAAAAACACUUUCAUGAUAAAAUCAUAUUAGACUAUUAGGUAAUUGGUAGGAAAAUGCUGUUGAACAUUAUUUAAUUUCUUGUUAAGUUUAAUGGGAGCUUUUGCUCAGAUUAUAGAAUAAUGUAAGACUUAAAUUGGGUUAUCUUUUCUGUUAUCUCAAAAAAUGGAGUUUUUACUGUUUUUGCUGUUUGGAGCUUAUGUAAAUGAUACAAAAUUUGUCAUUUGGUCCUCCAACCCAGAAGGCCAACACUGAUAGUCUUGUUUGGUUUAAUAAUAGCAUCCCUUGCUGUGUUAAGGAUUCUGUAGAUCUGUGCUGACUAAUAAGACAGCCACUAGCCAUAUGUGACUAGUGAGUACCUAAAAUUUGAC